UGAGGUCAGAGGUUGGGGCCUCAAGCCACGUGGCUCGGCUCCCACAUUAACCUCAGCUCAAGGUCCUGGAACCAGUGGGGCCAUUGUGUGACACAGGCCACAAACCACGGGCCUCCACCAGCCCCAACUCCGCGGCUCCUGGUGACAGCAGCCAGCUCCUCCCUCUGCCCUGCCGGCCACUGCCCCCCUCCCCCAUGUCUCCCAGCAACCCCGAGGGGCGGGCGACAUCAUUCCCUUGUCACAGAUGACACAAGGGGGGCUCAGAGGGGACGAGGCGUUCGCCCAGGCCGACACAGCGGUGAGCCUGGGUUUGGGGGCACAGGCGACCUCAGGGGCUGGCACCUGCUUGGAUCUGGAGGAAAGGCCCCGGGUGCAGGACGUGCCACAGGUCUGUGUCCGCAGGGCCAGCGCACGCAGGAGAGGGAGCUGCGCUGGGGGCUGUCGGGAGGAGCGUGGGGUGUCACAUGUGACGAGCAGCCACAGGACUGCCCUCCCUCCCACACGCACUUCUGGAAGCUGCAGGUCGAGACCUGGAGUCCAAUUCUCGUCCCUUGAGCUUGGCUUGGGCCCCACCCUGAGUCUGGAGGUGACAGUGUGGCUGCCAGUGGGGGUCACCCCUUCCACCUUGCUCGCUGGGACACUCACUCUUGAAGCCACCAGCCGCCAUCUCACAGCCCCACUGCCCGGAGGCCGCCAUGUUGUGAGGAAGCCCAAGCAAGCCCGUGCUGAGAGACCACCGAGCCCACCGGUGGAGAGGGGGCGUCCAGCCACCCCCCACUGCUCCACCCGCCCUGACACACAGGAACCAUGAGUGAGAAUAAACUGAGUGUUUCAAGCCACUGAGCUGUGGGGUCAUUGACUACGUAGCAACUGUAACUGGAACAUCCCAAAAUAAUUUUUCGAGUGACAUAGGUCCAAUUAAACUAAUGGAAAGAACUUUAGAGCGUUGCUAAGCAUAGAAAAACACUGCACAGUGAAAUGCCCAGCAAGAUGCCGUUUUUGAUGCACAAACCAGACCCUGGAUGUUGGCUCUGGACCAUGCACUGCCAUGUAAACUUAGAGAAAGGUCCAUCAGGAUACACCCCAAACACACCACAUCCCACACAGCCAUUAUCGCUGGGGGCGAGGGAUAAGUGGAUGGAGUUGGGAGCUGGUGAGGCCCUGACACUUGUCCGUCCAUUGUAAGAACCAUUUCUUGAUUCCUCACUGGUGUUUAAUUCAACAGAACAGUUGGUUUGUAGUUUGUUUCGUGGUCUCAAAUAUUUC
rnacentral:lncRNA from 1 species